CAAAUGCUUGCAUUGUAUUUUCCACCAACAGAGGGCGCUUAUCACCAUUUUGCUUCUGUAAUGAAAAUUUCAAUCUAGGUCAAACAAAGGGAGAGGCAAGGCAAUGAAAGAGCAUACACUUUAGGAAGGCUGACAUAGUCAUCCAGCAUGGCUUGGAUGUUUUCAAAAAUAGUAAUAAACAGAGCCUAGCUGCUAUUCUCUCUUUCGGCAGCUGCAAGUGAUCAUCCAGGUGGGGAAAUUUUAGGUGAGCUGUUCUGACAGCACAGGCUUACUGUAAAGAAAAUGGAAGAUACUCACAAGAGAGCGAGAUCAAAGGGAGGUACCAUGAGGAUUCCAAACAGCAGUCAAACCAGUGAUUGAUGGUGGCCUAGAUUUUGCCUUGUUUGCAUCCACUGUUUUUGAAAGGUGUGCAAGUUGAUGUCAUGACCCUCCUCUAUUGAAGGAAAUGCUACUGAAGAUAUCAAAACAUUUUCAACUGCUUAGUAAACCACACAAAUGAAGCAUCAGGUUAAACAGAUUGUGUUGCCCUUGGUCAUCUCUCUCAGAGAAUUCAAAAAUACCCGUGUGCUACCCACAGACAUUUUGCUGUUAUGGUCUUUUAUGAAGGCCAUAGUAAAAAGGGGGAAAGACCAUACAUUUGUUUAAAGAAAACUAAAUGACAAAAAAUAAAAUAAAAGUUCAUUACGGUACAACUCUUCUAAACUAGAAAGAGCAAGAAAAAUCAUGUCCGGCUCUGACAAAUAAUCAUGAAAGUUGUACAAUAAAAUAAAUAUUUUUGCUGCAAA